UCGAGCGAACAGAUGAGAAGCUUGCUUCUCUGAUGUUAGCGGCGGACGGGUGAGUAACACGUGGGUAACCUACCUAUAAGACUGGGAUAACUCCGGGAAACCGGGGCUAAUACCGGAUAAUAUUUUGAACCGCAUGGUUCAAUAGUGAAAGACGGUUUCGGCUGUCACUUAUAGAUGGACCCGCGCCGUAUUAGCUAGUUGGUAAGGUAACGGCUUACCAAGGCGACGAUACGUAGCCGACCUGAGAGGGUGAUCGGCCACACUGGAACUGAGACACGGUCCAGACUCCUACGGGAGGCAGCAGUAGGGAAUCUUCCGCAAUGGGCGAAAGCCUGACGGAGCAACGCCGCGUGAGUGAUGAAGGUCUUCGGAUCGUAAAACUCUGUUGUUAGGGAAGAACAAAUUUGUUAGUAACUGAACAAGUCUUGACGGUACCUAACCAGAAAGCCACGGCUAACUACGUGCCAGCAGCCGCGGUAAUACGUAGGUGGCAAGCGUUAUCCGGAAUUAUUGGGCGUAAAGCGCGCGUAGGCGGUUUCUUAAGUCUGAUGUGAAAGCCCACGGCUCAACCGUGGAGGGUCAUUGGAAACUGGGAAACUUGAGUGCAGAAGAGGAGAGUGGAAUUCCAUGUGUAGCGGUGAAAUGCGCAGAGAUAUGGAGGAACACCAGUGGCGAAGGCGGCUCUCUGGUCUGUAACUGACGCUGAUGUGCGAAAGCGUGGGGAUCAAACAGGAUUAGAUACCCUGGUAGUCCACGCCGUAAACGAUGAGUGCUAAGUGUUAGGGGGUUUCCGCCCCUUAGUGCUGCAGCUAACGCAUUAAGCACUCCGCCUGGGGAGUACGACCGCAAGGUUGAAACUCAAAGGAAUUGACGGGGACCCGCACAAGCGGUGGAGCAUGUGGUUUAAUUCGAAGCAACGCGAAGAACCUUACCAAAUCUUGACAUCCUUUGACCGCUCUAGAGAUAGAGUCUUCCCCUUCGGGGGACAAAGUGACAGGUGGUGCAUGGUUGUCGUCAGCUCGUGUCGUGAGAUGUUGGGUUAAGUCCCGCAACGAGCGCAACCCUUAAGCUUAGUUGCCAUCAUUAAGUUGGGCACUCUAGGUUGACUGCCGGUGACAAACCGGAGGAAGGUGGGGAUGACGUCAAAUCAUCAUGCCCCUUAUGAUUUGGGCUACACACGUGCUACAAUGGAUAAUACAAAGGGCAGCGAAUCCGCGAGGCCAAGCAAAUCCCAUAAAAUUAUUCUCAGUUCGGAUUGUAGUCUGCAACUCGACUACAUGAAGCUGGAAUCGCUAGUAAUCGUAGAUCAGCAUGCUACGGUGAAUACGUUCCCGGGUCUUGUACACACCGCCCGUCACACCACGAGAGUUUGUAACACCCGAAGCCGGUGGAGUAACCUUUUAGGAGCUAGCCGUCGAAGGUGGGACAAAUGAUUG
rnacentral:rRNA from 1 species